CCUACGGGCGGCAGCAGUGGGGAAUAUUGGACAAUGGGGGGAACCCUGAUCCAGCCAUGCCGCGUGUGUGAAGAAGGCCCUCGGGUUGUAAAGCACUUUCAGUGAGGAAGAACGCCUGGUGGUUAAUACCCAUCAGGAAAGACAUCACUCACAGAAGAAGCACCGGCUAACUCCGUGCCAGCAGCCGCGGUAAUACGGAGGGUGCGAGCGUUAAUCGGAAUUACUGGGCGUAAAGCGCGCGUAGGUGGCUUGACAAGCCGGUUGUGAAAGCCCCGGGCUCAACCUGGGAACGGCAUCCGGAACUGUCAAGCUAGAGUGCAGGAGAGGAAGGUAGAAUUCCCGGUGUAGCGGUGAAAUGCGUAGAGAUCGGGAGGAAUACCAGUGGCGAAGGCGGCCUUCUGGACUGAAACUGACACUGAGGUGCGAAAGCGUGGGUAGCAAACAGGAUUAGAUACCCCGGUAGUC
rnacentral:rRNA from 1 species